rnacentral:sRNA from 1 species
UUCAAGUUUUUUUUUGCUUUU